rnacentral:rRNA from 1 species
CUAUGCGCCUUGCCAGCCCGCUCAGGUGUGCCAGCCGCCGCGGUAAUCGUAGGUGGCGAGCGUUGUCCGGAUUUACUGGGCGUAAAGGGAGCGUAGGCGGACUUUUAAGCGAGAUGUGAAAUACUCGGGCUCAACUUGAGUGCUGCAUUUCAAACUGGAAGUCUAGAGUGCAGGAGAGGAGAAUGGAAUUCCUAGUGUAGCGGUGAAAUGCGUAGAGAUUAGGAAGAACACCAGUGGCGAAGGCGAUUCUCUGGACUGUAACUGACGCUGAGGCUCGAAGGCGUGGGGGAGCAAACAGG